rnacentral:rRNA from 1 species
AUGAACGCUGGCGGCGUGCCUAACACAUGCAAGUCGAACGAUGAAACCGCCCCCGGGCGGACAUGAAGUGGCGAACGGGUGAGUAACACGUGACCGACCUGCCCCCCGCCCAGGGACAGCCCCCCGAAAGGGGGAUUAAUACCUGGUACUCCGGAAGCGGCGCAUGCCGCGGCCGGGAAAGCUCUCGCGGCGGGGGAUGGGGUCGCGGCCCAUCAGGUAGACGGCGGGGCAGAGGCCCACCGUGCCGACGACGGGUAGCCGGGUUGAGAGACCGACCGGCCACAUUGGGACUGAGAUACGGCCCAGACUCCUACGGGAGGCAGCAGUGGGGAAUUUUGCGCAAUGGGGGCAACCCUGACGCAGCAACGCCGCGUGCGGGACGAAGGCGUCCGCGUCGUAAACCGCUUUCAGCGGGGAACACCUAACGAGGGUACCCGCAGAAGAAGCCCCGGCUAAAUACGUGCCAGCAGCCGCGGUAAUACGUAUGGGGCGAGCGUUAUCCGGAUUCAUUGGGCGUAAAGCGCGCGUAGGCGGAGCGCUAAGCGGGACCUCUAACCCGAGGGCUCAACCCCCGGCCGGGUCCCGAACUGGCGCUCUCGAGUGCGGUAGGGGAGAGCGGAAUUCCCGGUGUAGCGGUGGAAUGCGCAGAUAUCGGGAAGAACACCGACGGCGAAGGCAGCUCUCUGGGCCGAAACUGACGCUGAGGCGCGAAAGCUGGGGGAGCGAACAGGAUUAGAUACCCUGGUAGUCCCAGCCGUAAACGAUGGGCGCUAGGUGUGGGGGAGCAGAUCCCCCGUGCCGCAGCCAACGCAUUAAGCGCCCCGCCUGGGGAGUACGGCCGCAAGGCUAAAACUCAAAGGAAUUGACGGGGGCCCGCACAAGCAGUGGAGUAUGUGGUUUAAUUCGAAGCAACGCGAAGAACCUUACCAGGGCUUGACAUCCGACUAACGAAGCAGAGAUGCAUUAGGUGCCCUUCGGGGAAAGUCGAGACAGGUGGUGCAUGGUUGUCGUCAGCUCGUGUCGUGAGAUGUUGGGUUAAGUCCCGCAACGAGCGCAACCCUUACUGUUAGUUGCUACGCAAGAGCACUCUAGCAGGACUGCCGUUGACAAAACGGAGGAAGGUGGGGAUGACGUCAAAUCAUCAUGCCCCUUAUGAGCAGGGCUACACACGUGCUACAAUGGCCGGUACAGAGGGUUGCGACCCCGCGAGGGGGAGCGGAUCCCGCAAAGCCGGCCCCAGUUCGGAUCGGAGGCUGCAACCCGCCUCCGUGAAGCCGGAGUUGCUAGUAAUCGCGGAUCAGCACGCCGCGGUGAAUACGUUCCCGGGCCUUGUACACACCGCCCGUCACACCACCCGAGUCGUCUGCACCCGAAGCCGCCGGCCGAACCCUUUUUGGGGCGGAGGCGUCGAAGGUGUGGAGGGUGAGGGGGGUG